AACGAACGCUGGCGGCAUGCCUAACACAUGCAAGUCGAACGAGACCUUCGGGUCUAGUGGCGCACGGGUGCGUAACGCGUGGGAACCUGCCCUUAGGUUCGGAAUAACUCCCCGAAAGGGGUGCUAAUACCGGAUAAUGUCUUCGGACCAAAGAUUUAUCGCCUUUGGAUGGGCCCGCGUUGGAUUAGCUAGUUGGUAGGGUAAAAGCCUACCAAGGCGACGAUCCAUAGCUGGUCUGAGAGGAUGAUCAGCCACACUGGGACUGAGACACGGCCCAGACUCCUACGGGAGGCAGCAGUGGGGAAUAUUGGACAAUGGGCGAAAGCCUGACCCAGCAAUGCCGCGUGAGUGAUGAAGGCCUUAGGGUUGUAAAGCUCUUUUACCCGGGAUGAUAAUGACAGUACCGGGAGAAUAAGCACCGGCUAACUACGUG
rnacentral:rRNA from 1 species